UUGUACGACAUACUGUGGACACAUAUUUUGCUUUUUGUAUGCAAUUUUUAUUGACAACUGCAUUAUAAAAGCUGCCACCAUUCAGCUUGACAUGCAGCUUUUGCACAGUGGGAAGAUGUGGCAAAUGGUUUGCUUUUUUGCCUUGCAGGAAAUUACUGAGGUUUUCAGGACUGGGUGAGAAAGCAACUAUUUUCAGUUCACUUCUAUUGAAAAAAGGAACGCGUAUUUGGAGGCACCACAGAGAAGUGGAAUAUACUGUAUCAUAUCAUGGUGUCAACUUGACUUCGCUGAAAUGGCAUACAACUUUGAUUUUCUCAUCAGGAAAAAAUGUUUAUUCCCUUUGCCAGACCUAGCAGAUAAGAAACUACUGUGUGUAGCACUGCAUAUUUUGAUACUGGGGAUAUCUGCACAGAGCUAUUCUUGAGACACAUGCUAAAAAUAUUUGGUGUGCUUUGUGUUGAAUUGUUGUCAUGAAUUAUUAAAAUGAGCUGUUAUGUUUUCAUUAAACUGGC
rnacentral:lncRNA from 1 species